ACCCGUGAAUACCUAACACUGUUGCUUCGGCGGGGAACCCCCUCGGGGGCGAGC
rnacentral:rRNA from 1 species